AGACACAGACUAGGUUUUGCCCCCUGCUGUAAAUUAGAUAGAAUACAGGUUUAAGGCAUUUCCGCAUUGGCUUCAGGUUUCAGUGCCAGAAGCGCUGUUCAUUAUCCUUUACAGUCU